AUCACUUCUCGGCCUUUUGGCUAAGGUCAAGUGUAGCAUAUGUCCUUAGAGUCCUCUUGGCUGUGAGUUUUUCCAUUUUUUGGAAAAAACAGAAAAUUUGCAAAAAUUCAAAAGUCUUGCAAAUUUUCUGGUUUUAAAAUGAUGGAGCAAAUUUAGCAGGUUUUUUUUAACCUUCUUGAAAAAUAUUC